UGGACUCUCUUCCCGGAGGAGCCCGAACCCGUAGAACCGGACGCCAGAAGCUUCUUUACGGGCUCGCCCUAAAGUACCAGCGACCCGUAGAUGAAAUCUUGAUCAACUCUGUAAGCUUAAUUGGUACUGUAGACUGCCCUUUUGAAAAAAUUCAAUACUACCAAAAUUUUGGUGUCCAUACUAUUCUCAUUGUCAAAGCUUCCUCUAGCUCGUACCGCUACUUGAAAGUAAGGACUCCAUUAAUAUUUGUCUCUGAUUAUAGUUUAGUUUUUAUUUUUUCAAUUUUUUGUGUUCCCUGAAUGCGUGCGCGAGCGUGCGCGAGCUUUGUAGCGAUUUUAGGCUAGCGAUGGACGUAUUUAUACAAACACUGUACAGCUACAGCUGAAAAUGUGGGAUGAAAUUGCGGAAAUAUUGGUCCAGCAUCUGAAGCCGAAAGAUUUAAUUUUUGUUUCAGGUUUGAAAUGCUAUUUUUUUAACACUUGUCAAGUGACUGGCAUAGCUUUUUCUUUGUGCAAUAUAUAUCUAUUGGAAUUUAGAACCUUACAAUCUUGGGACCUAGUUGUUUAAUUAUAUUUUUAUUCUUGCACUGAGGCUAUUUUGCCAAAUGCCAACAUGUACUACUUCUAUGAGUUGUACCCCCAUGCU
rnacentral:lncRNA from 1 species